AACGUAGGUACCGAGCGUUAUCCGGAUUUACUGGGCGUAAAGCGCGUUCAGGCGGUUUGGCAAGUCGGGCAUGAAAUCUCUCGGCUCAACCGGGAGAGGUUGUCCGAUACUUCCAGACUUGAGGGCAGUAGAGGGUGGUGGAAUUCCGGGUGUAGUGGUGAAAUGCGUAGAUAUCCGGAGGAACACCAGUGGCGAAAGCGGCCACCUGGACUGCACCUGACGCUGAGACGCGAAAGCGUGGGGAGCGAACAGG
rnacentral:rRNA from 1 species